rnacentral:rRNA from 1 species
GACGAACGCUGCGGCGUGCUUAACACAUGCAAGUCGAACGGUGAAAGCGGAGCUUGCUCCGCUGGAUCAGUGGCGAACGGGUGAGUAACACGUGGGCAACCUGCCCCUCACUUCGGGAUAACUCCGGGAAACCGGGGCUAAUACCGGAUAUGACCUCCUUGGGCAUCCUUGGAGGUGGAAAGUUUUUCGGUGAGGGAUGGGCCCGCGGCCUAUCAGCUAGUUGGUGAGGUAAAGGCUCACCAAGGCGACGACGGGUAGCCGGCCUGAGAGGGGAACCGGCCACACUGGGACUGAGACACGGCCCAGACUCCUACGGGAGGCAGCAGUGGGGAAUAUUGCACAAUGGGCGCAAGCCUGAUGCAGCAACGCCGCGUGGGGGAUGACGGCCUUCGGGUUGUAAACCUCUUUUAGCGGGGAAGAAGCGAAAGUGACGGUACCUGCAGAAAAAGCACCGGCUAACUACGUGCCAGCCGCCGCGGUAA